UGCUGUUUGUGAUGAUUAUUUAUUUGACAAUGGGAAUCUCUCUGAAUUAGACUGAAAGAGAUACUUUUUCUGAGACAGCA